rnacentral:ncRNA from 1 species
AAAAGAAAAGAGCAAACCCGUGGAAACACGGGGACGCAAAGCUACAGGGGCUACAGCGUAAAGCUAUGCCAGCCAGUUACCUUU